CUAUUUUCUUGUGACUAUGAGGGAUGUGGCAAAGGUUUCUCCAGAAAAGGUCAUCUUGCAAGACACAUCCUAACUCAUAAAGGAGAAAAGCCAUUCAGUGUGAUUUUGAAGGAUGUGGUAAAUCAUUUAAGAAGCAUCAGCAACUCAAAGUGCAUCAGUAUGAACACACAAAAGUGCCGCCAUUCAAGUGUAAUUAUAAGGGCUGUGAGAAAGG